rnacentral:rRNA from 1 species
GCCGCGAAUAGCUCAUUACAACAGCCUCUGUUUAUUAGAUCUUUCUUUCCUACUUGGAUAACUGUGGCAAUUCUAGAGCUAAUACAUGCAACAAAGCCCUGACCGUAAGGAAGGGGUGCACUUAUUAGAACAAAACCAAUCGAGCCUCUGGCUCGUCAAUUGGUGAAUCUGAAUAAUUUUGCCGAUCGAACGGUCUUUGAACCGUCGACGUAUCUUUCAAAUGUCUGCCUUAUCAACUUUCGAUGGUAGUAUAUAGGACUACCAUUGUGAUAACGGGUAACGGAGAAUUAGGGUUCGACUCCGGAGAGGGAGCCUGAGAAACGGCUACCACAUCCAAGGAAGGCAGCAGGCACGCAAAUUACCCACUCCCGGCAAGGGGAGGUAGUGACGAACAAAUAACGAGGCAGUUCUCUACGAGGCCUGUCAUCGGAAUGAAUACAAUUUAAAUCCUUUAAUGAGGAUCUAUUGGAGGGCAAGUCUGGUGCCAGCAGCCGCGGUAAUUCCAGCUCCAAUAGCGUAUAUUAAAGUUGUUGACGGUUAAAAAGCUCCAGUAGUUGGAUCUGUGGUCAUGUGAAGUGGUCGCCCAGUGGGGUUGUUACUGCUUACACAGGCCAAGUUUUUCUAGCGCACUCUUGGUGCUCUUAAAUGAGUGUCUUGAGUAGCUAGUAUGUUUACUUUGAAAAAAUUAGAGUGCUUAAAGCAGACGCUUGUUUGAAUAGUGGUGCAUGGAAUAAUGGAAUAGGACCUUGAGUCCAUUUUGUUGGUUUACAGUCUCGAGGUAAUGAUUAAGAGGGACAGGCGGGGACAUUCGUAUUGCGACGUUCGAGGUUGAACGCUUGGAUCGUCGCAAGACGAACUACUGCGAAAGCAUUUUGCAAGAAUGUUUUCGUUAACCAAUAACGAAAGUUCUUCGUGCUUGGGCGAUAAGGUACCGCCCUAGUUCUAACCUUAAACGAGGCAAACUAGCGAUAAGUGGGCGUCAAAAAUAUGACUCCUCGGGCAGCUCCCUGGAAACCCUUUGUUUUCUGUGCCCGGGGAUGUUACGAUUGGAUGGCUUAACUUAAAGGAGUUGUUGGAACGGCACCACCAGGAGUGGAGCCUGCGGCUUAAUUUGACUCAACGCGGGAAAUCUCACCCGGCCCUGAAGAUUUAACCUAACUGCGUCAUUUAGCUCUUUCUUGAUUCGGUGGGUGGUGGUGCAUGGCCGUUCUUAGUUGGUGGAGCGAUUUGUCUGGUUAAUUCCGAUAACGAACGAGACUCUAGCCUACUAAAUAGUGAAUAAAUUCUUUGGUUUGUUA